AAUGGAAAAGAUGCUGGAUUGGAGGCGAGGUCAUGGUUUUCAUAAAUGUGAUGUAAAAACAAACGAGAAACUUUCCUGAUGACUAAGUUGGGAGGGACUUCUGGAGCCAACUAAUCCAACUCCUAAUUGAAGAAGAAUCCCUUCAACAACAUCCUUGAGGUCUUUUCUUAAAGACCUCAAAGACCUACUGCUUCUCCCAGGGAGCUUCAUUUUGUUUUUGGAUAGCUCUAAUUUUUAGGAAGUUUUUUCCUUACAUCAAGCUUCAAUUUAUCGCUUUGCAAAUUUCACCCAACUGUUCCUGCUUCUGUCUUCUAGGAUCGAGAAGAAUAAGUUGAUCACAGUGAAAUCUUUUCUAUUUGAAGAAAUGGAGACAAACAUAUCAAAUGACUUGCCUGGGACUACCCAUCUGGUGAGUAUCUGAGGCCAGUUUUGAACUCUGGUCUUCCUGCCCCGAGAACUAGGGCUCUAUACACUGAGCCACCCAGCUGCCCACCUGUACGACUGAAUAAAUCUCAUCACAACCUU